rnacentral:rRNA from 1 species
GAAAGCAUGGGGAGUGAACAGGAUUAGAUACCCUGGUAGUCCAUGCCGUAAACGAUGAGUGUUUGCCCUUGGUCUACGCGGAUCAGGGGCCCAGCUAACGCGUGAAACACUC